rnacentral:rRNA from 1 species
GACGAACGCUGGCGGCGUGCCUAAUACAUGCAAGUAGAACGCUGAAGGAGGAGCUUGCUUCUCUGGAUGAGUUGCGAACGGGUGAGUAACGCGUAGGUAACCUGCCUUGUAGCGGGGGAUAACUAUUGGAAACGAUAGCUAAUACCGCAUAAUAGUAGAUGUUGCAUGACAUUUGCUUAAAAGGUGCAAUUGCAUCACUACCAGAUGGACCUGCGUUGUAUUAGCUAGUUGGUGGGGUAACGGCUCACCAAGGCGACGAUACAUAGCCGACCUGAGAGGGUGAUCGGCCACACUGGGACUGAGACACGGCCCAGACUCCUACGGGAGGCAGCAGUAGGGAAUCUUCGGCAAUGGACGGAAGUCUGACCGAGCAACGCCGCGUGAGUGAAGAAGGUUUUCGGAUCGUAAAGCUCUGUUGUAAGAGAAGAACGAGUGUGAGAGUGGAAAGUUCACACUGUGACGGUAUCUUACCAGAAAGGGACGGCUAACUACGUG